rnacentral:rRNA from 1 species
UAUGAAGGGUGCAAGCGUUACUCGGAAUUACUGGGCGUAAAGCGUGCGUAGGUGGUUUGUUAAGUCAGAUGUGAAAUCCCGGGGCUUAACUCCGGACGUGCAUUUGAAACUGGGAAGCUCGAGUGCAGGAGAGGUAAGUGGAAUUCCUAGUGUAGCGGUGAAAUGCGUAGAUAUUAGGAGGAACGCCAGUGGCGAAGGCGACUUACUGGACUGUAACUGACGCUGAGGCGCGAAAGCGUGGGGAGCAAACAGG